rnacentral:rRNA from 1 species
UUGUCACAUGCUUGUCUCAAAGAUUAAGCCAUGCAUGUCUAAGUACACACUCUAGCAAGUGAAACCGCGAAUGGCUCAUUAAAUCAGUUAUGGUUUAUUAGAUCGUGCAAUCCUAUUUGGAUAACUGUGGUAAUUCUAGAGCUAAUACAUGCAACUAGCCCUGACUUUACGAAGGGGCGCUUUUAUUAGAUCAAAAUCAAUCAGGAGCAAUCCUGUUUUUGUGAUGACUCUGGAUAACUUCAAGCCGACCGCAUGGCCUUGUGCCGGCGGCGUAUCUUUCAAAUGUCUGCCCUAUCAACUUUCGAUGGUAGGUGAUAUGCCUACCAUGGUUGUAACGGGUAACGGAGAAUCAGGGUUCGAUUCCGGAGAGGGAGCCUGAGAAACGGCUACCACAUCCAAGGAAGGCAGCAGGCGCGCAAAUUACCCACUCCCGGCACGGGGAGGUAGUGACGAAAAAUAACAAUACCGGGCAUCUAUAUGUCUGGUAAUUGGAAUGAGUACAAUUUAAAUCCCUUAACGAGGAACAAUU